ACAUGUUUGGAAGUGGCGGGCGGUACAGUCAUUACUGGCAGCCAGGGCCACCUUGUUAACGUGUUCCGGCUUGAUAGCCACCUAUUGCAGUUCACCCUAAACGGCCAUUGUAGGACCGCACACACAUGUGUUUUCAUAGACCAGUGGCAGGCCGAGAUGGGCGCAUCUGGUUGCCAGGAUGGUGUGCUAUGUGUGUGGGACUUGAUACGGGGUGCCUGUAUGUACAAAAUUGAAGCCCAUGACGACAUGACGUCGCACUUGCCUGUUCCCCGAGUUACGCAAUAUCGCUCGGACUGAACGAACGAAUACGGUUUUGGGAUAGAUUUCAGGGUCAGCCGCUCAACACCAUGACCGUCAGUCAUGCAUAUUCAUCGCUUGUGAUGCUGACGCUUCUGAACGAAGCCAUUGCUAGCACGAGUUUUUGAUUUGGAAGGAUAGUUGCUGAGGACCAUUCUCACAAUAAGUUUAUAAUAUCCAUUACAUGAUCAAAUGCGCUGAUGGGUUAGGCUUUGGAUUCGGCUAUAUUCCAUCGUCAUUGAAGCUAGAUCAUAGAAUCAUGUUAAUUUGACAGACUGCAAGUGUUACUAGUAGCACAAACAGCUAGCAGCCCAGCUAGUAUUGUUCUUUCUGCUUGCAACCAACCUGGU